AUUGAACGCUGGCGGCAGGCCUAACACAUGCAAGUCGAGCGAGCGGCGGACGGGUGAGAAAUGUCUGGGAAACUGUCCGAUGGAGGGGGAUAACUAUUGGAAACGGUAGCUAAUAUCGCAUAUCAUCACAUGUGUCCAGAUGGGAUUAGCUAGUAGGUGGGGUAAUGGCUCACCUAGGCGACGAUCCCUCGCUGGUCUGAGAGGAGUACCAGCCACACUGGAACUGAGACACGGUCCAGACUCCUACGGGAGGCAGCAGUGGGGAAUAUUGCACAAUGGGCGCAAGCCUGAUGCAGCCAUGCCGCGUGUGUGAAGAAGGCCUUCGGGUUGUAAAGCACUUUCAGCGGGGAGGCGUUACCCGCAGAAGAAGCACCGGCUAACUCCGUGCCAGCAGCCGCGGUAAUUC
rnacentral:rRNA from 1 species